CCUACGGGAGGCAGCAGUGGGGAAUAUUGCACAAUGGGGGAAACCCUGAUGCAGCGACGCCGCGUGAGCGAUGAAGUAUUUCGGUAUGUAAAGCUCUAUCAGCAGGGAAGAAAAUGACGGUACCUGACUAAGAAGCCCCGGCUAAUUACGUGCCAGCAGCCGCGGUAAUACGUAUGGUGCAAGCGUUAUCCGGAUUUACUGGGUGUAAAGGGAGCGCAGGCGGCACGGCAAGCCUGAUGUGAAAGCCCGCGGCCCAACCGCGGGACUGCAUUGGGAACUACCGGGCUGGAGUGCCGGAGAGGUAG
rnacentral:rRNA from 1 species